UAUAUCACAUGUUGAGCGUACAAUCAAGAAACCUGGCAUUAUCAGCAGUUCAGCAUAGUCUGCAUCAGUAACAUUGUCAACUAAAUAUAGCGAAUGAUGUAAACAGGAAAAGUUUUUUUUUUGAAAAAUGAUCACCAAAGUAUGAUUAUUCUUUUACAAUUUUUUUACCUGAAACUGUUUUAUAGGAAUUUCUUCCCACGGUAUAUUUUUAUAUAUUUUCUCAAAAGAAGCAAAGUCUAAUUACAGUGAAGAAGUAAAAGUAAGGAAAAAAAACUAACCAUCUAUCUAAGAGCCUAGAAGCUAAAACUGUAAGCAGAUAUAACAACAUAUAUAGCUGAAGGAAGCAAGAGCAAGAAUGAUGCUUAUCUGAAGUUCUGCACCCAGUCUGGAAGUGACCCAUAUGAUUUCCUCUUGGCCCUGAGCACCAGCCGUUGCAAUUCCUCCUCGAAGUGUUUUCUAUAAGCAUAAAAACUUGGAGGAACAGCCCUAAAAAUCUGACAAGGCUGUCCAACUGGGGCAUAUGUUCUUCCAACAGAUUUCAGCAAAUGGGCAAUGGAAGAAGAGGAGUGUGUUCAGUCUAUCAUUCAGAAGUAGCCAGAAAAAUAUUGGGUGCUUGAGCUGAUUACAAGUUCUCCAAAGCCAGGUGGUGGCAAGAAUUGAAAUGGAAUCUCCAAGUAAUAGCUUUUAAGCCUGAUCCUGAAUUGCUGGACAUUUACUGGAAAUUACCAAGAAUCAGGCUCAUCCCCAAGGAUAAGGCCAUCUAACAGAGCUUCCAUUUGCUGAAACUGAUCAAAUGCUUCUACUAACAAAGGCAAAUGGAAUUAUUCUUUUAACAUUCAUUUGAACUGAAACUGAUCAAAUGCUUCUACUAGCAAAGGCAAAUGGAAUUAUUCUUUUAACACUCAUUUGAACUGAAAUUGAUCAAAUGCUUCUAUUAACAAAGGCAAAUGGAAUUAUUCUUUUAACAUUCAUUUGAACUGCAAAGGCCCUUGCAUCCAAAUACUCCAAUGUUGAGUAAUAUAGAAUUUGUAUAAAUAUGCUAUCCAGACAACCAUGGAAGAUACCCCAUGGCUACUACUUAGUGCCACCUUUAUUACUGCAAUACAUGUUUCUAACAGGUAACCUCUUACUA